rnacentral:rRNA from 1 species
GGAGCAACGCCGCGUGUAUGAAGAAGGUUUUCGGAUCGUAAAGUACUGUUGUUAGAGAAGAACAAGGAUAAGAGUAACUGCUUGUCCCUUGACGGUAUCUAACCAGAAAGCCACGGCUAACUACGUGCCAGCAGCCGCGGUAAUACGUAGGUGGCAAGCGUUGUCCGGAUUUAUUGGGCGUAAAGCGAGCGCAGGCGGUUCUUUAAGUCUGAUGUGAAAGCCCCCGGCUUAACCGGGG